rnacentral:rRNA from 1 species
GACGAACGCUGGCGGCGUGCUUAACACAUGCAAGUCGAACGGAGAGGCCCUGCUUGCAGGGUACUCGAGUGGCGAACGGGUGAGUAACACGUGGGUGAUCUGCCCUGCACUUCGGGAUAAGCCUGGGAAACUGGGUCUAAUACCGGAUAGGAGCCAUUUUUAGUGUGAUGGUUGGAAAGUUUUUUCGGUGUAGGAUGAGCUCGCGGCCUAUCAGCUUGUUGGUGGGGUAAUGGCCUACCAAGGCGGCGACGGGUAGCCGGCCUGAGAGGGUGGACGGCCACAUUGGGACUGAGAUACGGCCCAGACUCCUACGGGAGGCAGAAGGGGGGAAUAUUGCACAAUGGGCGCAAGCCUGAUGCAGCGACGCCGCGUGGGGGAGGACGGCCUUCGGGUUGUAAACUCCUUUCGCUAGGGACGAAGCUUUUUGUGACGGUACCUAGAUAAGAAGCACCGGCUAACUACGUG